CUCGUACGACCCCAACACACACACGCACCAAGCCCUGUCUUCUCUGUCUCUGCAGUCGCACAGCACAGCAAGACAACGCCCCUCAUUUCAGUUCAACCCAAAACACACAAACAGCAGACAGUUGGUGGUGUUUGUGGAGGGAGCAUGGCUAUUGGAUGGGAUGAGGCGGCCUGGCCUGUAAGGACGAUGGAGGAUGGAUGAGAUUUACACACACUCAUCACACUCAAAGGGAGGGAGGGGUGCCUAACUCUUGACCCCUGACCUCGGAUCAGCCAGGGGCGGAUAUUGUUGAAGAUGACUUCAACUGUCUCACCUCAGACCAACUUCACUACAGUCGUCUCAAAUACCACAACCACCACCAAGUCCAAAGAACAAAUACUCACCCAGAGUUCAGGGGCUAUGAUUGCUGUCAUCGUCAUUGGUAUAAUUAUCCUCCUAACUAUACUGCUCGUCAUCCUGAAGACAUACAACAGGCGGACACAUGCUUCCAGAGUGCUGGGUAAGGGCUCCAAAGGUCCCGCUCGUCAGAAGAUGUCUUCCUCUACAGCGCAGGCUAGCAUACCCUUGGGAAAUCAAGGAGUCAGCUAUCUGUCUGGCAGCUUUGCUCUGUCAAGUAAUAUGUCAGAAAAUGGAUUCCAGCUACCCCAAGUGGAAUUAAGUAGCCUGGACCAAAACAACUUGGAGCAGCUGAGUACGGGGAGCAAUUCGACAGUGGUCACCAUACAUGAUACUCCAUCACUGGGAAAUACAUAGCAGGCCUUUCAUUUAUUGGGCAGGUGACAAGUCAGCAUAUCAUGCUUGAAAACAAAUGAUGAACAAAGUGGUGCCAUAGGGAAGCAAUGGACAUCUGUGGACACUCCUGUGGACAUAAACGACUGCUUUCUUGACUACAGUGUUCAGAACAUGGAAGCAAUUAUCCUGCUGUCUGUGCGUUUAUAGCUGUGCUUCCAACAACCAUGAGGAUAAGCGUUGGAGGAGAGAUGUCUACAAGAUUCAAGACAUGGCUAGUUAUUCUAUGUGUGUAAAGUUCUAUGGGAGGGAGUUGUUGACAGGGGUUUUGAAUUGAUUCAGAUUACUCUGAUGUGAGUGUGUUUUGUAACAAUAAUGUUGUUAUGGUUGUCACCAUACAGGCGAAAACCAUCAGAAUGUUUCUGUGAGAAGUCAAUAAUAGUUUGAACCCAGUGGAGCUCUAGAUAGCAGAAAAUUAUGAAAAUAGGAAGUCCUAACUAGUUUGACACCAAAGAAUUUUGCACUUUACACCUACCCUCUCCUGUGAUUGUUUGGUUUGUUCUUUCAUUGAAAAUAAAUGUUGAUAUUUCAGCUUGAACAUGAUUAAAUCUGCAUUUCAUUAUUUAGCGGACAGUUGUAUAGAACAACUUGGUGAGUUGGUGACAUUUUUCACUUCAUAUUUACUUUUUAUAUCACUGCCUAAAUAUGUUAGAAAAUGAACUGAUUCCCUUGGAUGUAGUAAAUCUAUAUCCGACAAUAGCGAAAUGGCUGGAGCCUCUGUCAAGCCUGAGAACAACAUCAGUUUUGAUGAAAACAUCGAUGACAAGAUCAAUCAAUCAAACGUAUUUAAAAUGCCCUUUUCACAUCAGCCGAUGUCACAAAGUGCUAUACAGAAACCCAGCCUAAAACCCCAGACUGAAAGCAAAGAUAACACUUGAUUAAUGAUAAGAUGCACACAUUAAACAAUAGAAUAGUAGACAAUAUUUAUUUACUUUAAACGGCACAACAAUGUCAACAGGAGUUAGAGAAUAUUUUUUCCUGGAUGACUGGCAACUGAAAGAUUUGGCGCCCUCAUCUGAUGGAAAGUAGACAUUGACGCAAUUUUGAGUCUACAUUACAGAUCUUAAUGAGCUGCAAUUGCAAUGCAUUUGGGCGUCGUUUACAAUGUUAUAUUAAAUUGAUUAAGACCAUCACACCUGAACAACAUAGAUAUUUUAGUUGUAUGCUCUAUGAAGCCGCAGUUAGCUUCUGAAAUGAAACUAUCAGAUAUAAUUACUAGCUUUGAAGGAGUCUCCAGCCAACGUUGCAGAACUGUUUAUCAUACUGUAGAUGACUUGAAUGCUACUCAGUACUUUUGUUUACACGGUGGUGUCCGUGGGUACGUAGCUAGCUAGCUAGCAUGUCUGGUAGACUACCGUAUAUCCUGAUUGCUCUCUAUCGAUCCUCAAAUAUUUUAUGUCUCACAAAGAAACAGAGCAGUCUGGAUUUAUUUAUUAACUUAGCUAGCAAAUGGAAGUCAAAAUGUAUUCACUUUUUUUUUUAAUAACACUAGCUUUCAAGCAAUUUAUAAUACUUGGAAUAUAUUUACAUGAUUGUUCAACUCGCACGUUUUUAACAGUUCAACAGACCUUAGAUAAGGCAGGCUAGUGUUUUCAUAUGGAAUGUGGGAACACGUUUAACACUUCUUUUUACAUUAUACACCACCAGCAGUGUUGUCUGUCCAAUAUGAGUACCCAUUUCAACUGGAAUUGUGUUUGUCAUAGACUUAUAAUUAACAGUUUGAAUCAUAUUUAGGCUAGUUAAGAAAGAUGGUUGACCGACAGGUGAUUGACAGACAGGUACUUUGCCUCCUGCUGGUACAGUAGCUGUGCUGUGGGGCUGCACCAACCCAUAUCUGAAGAGAGGCACAGAGGGGAUUGAACAUGUUAAAAAGUAGAACACGUUUCUUCAAUUCCUGGCUGAGGUCAAGUUCCUGUUUUUAAACAUGAAAGUAAAUUCACACCUGUAUUUGGAGAGAGACUGAAACAGUUUCAUUUAUUCUUCUACAGUGCUUUCGGAAAGUAUUCAGACCCCUUGACUUUUUCCACAUUUUGUUACAUUACAGCCUUGUUCUAAAAUGGAUUAAAUAGUUUUUUUCCCCCCCCUCAUCAGUCUACACACAAUACCCAAUUAUGACAAAGCAAAAACAAAUUUGCAGGAAUUUUUGAAAAUGUAUAAAAUAAAAAUAAAAAAGCCAAUAUCACAUUUACAUAAGUAUUCAGAUCCUUU
rnacentral:lncRNA from 8 species